CCCUGGACAAGCUUUCCUGUCUGCUGCAUAAUCUAGCAGAAGAAGUCUAUCCGUUCUAUCGAAACUUAUUUUACCGUGUGGAACUUAGAUUCCAAGUGCCUGUGGUGCUAUGUUAUUUUGUCUGAAUGUUGUGUCGAACCUUGUUAUGGAAGAUAUUAUCUAUUUUGUGAUGAUGGUACUAAUAUGAAUGGCCUGUUGAAUCAUUACUACUUGAAUUCGUUUGUCAAUGUAUUUUGCUGUGGUUGUUGUCCUGUGUUUGAAUUUGAUGCUUCAUUUUGUGAAGCUACCCAAGGAA
rnacentral:lncRNA from 1 species